UACGGAGGGUGCGAGCGUUGUCCGGAAUCAUUGGGCGUAAAGAGCGUGUAGGCGGCUCGGUAAGUCCGCUGUGAAAGUCCAGGGCUCAACCCUGGAAUGCCGGUGGAAACUGUCGAGCUAGAAUCCGGAAGAGGCGAGUGGAAUUCCUGGUGUAGCGGUGAAAUGCGCAGAUAUCAAGGAGGAACACCAAUGGCGAAGGCAGCUCGCUGGGACGGUAUUGACGCUGAGACGCGAAAGCGUGGGGAGCAAACAGG
rnacentral:rRNA from 1 species